rnacentral:rRNA from 1 species
CAGGUUUACCUGUGUGACUGCGUACCUUUUGUAUAAUGGGUCAGCGACUUAUAUUCUGUAGCAAGGUUAACCGAAUAGGGGAGCCGGAGGGAAACCGAGUCUUAAUUGGGCGUUAAGUUGCAGGGUAUAGACCCGAAACCCGGUGAUCUAGCCAUGGGCAGGUUGAAGGUUGGGUAACACUAACUGGAGGACCGAACCGACUAAUGUUGAAAAAUUAGCGGAUGACCUGUGGCUGGGGGUGAAAGGCCAAUCAAACCGGGAGAUAGCUGGUUCUCCCCGAAAGCUAUUUAGGUAGCGCCUCGUGAAUUCAUCUCCGGGGGUAGAGCACUGUUUCGGCUAGGGGGCCAUCCCGGCUUACCAACCCGAUGCAAACUGCGAAUACCGGAGAAUGUUAUCACGGGAGACACACGGCGGGUGCUAACGUCCGUCGUGAAGAGGGAAACAACCCAGACCGCCAGCUAAGGUCCCAAAGUCAUGGUUAAGUGGGAAACGAUGUGGGAAGGCCCAGACAGCCAGGAUGUUGGCUUAGAAGCAGCCAUCAUUUAAAGAAAGCGUAAUAGCUCACUGGUCGAGUCGGCCUGCGCGGAAGAUGUAACGGGGCUAAACCAUGCACCGAAGCUGCGGCAGCGACGCUUAUGCGUUGUUGGGUAGGGGAGCGUUCUGUAAGCCUGUGAAGGUGGCCUGUGAGGGUUGCUGGAGGUAUCAGAAGUGCGAAUGCUGACAUAAGUAACGAUAAAGCGGGUGAAAAGCCCGCUCGCCGGAAGACCAAGGGUUCCUGUCCAACGUUAAUCGGGGCAGGGUGAGUCGACCCCUAAGGCGAGGCCGAAAGGCGUAGUCGAUGGGAAACGGGUUAAUAUUCCCGUACUUGGUGUUACUGCGAAGGGGGGACGGAGAAGGCU